rnacentral:rRNA from 1 species
CCACCGGCAGCCCGAGUGGUGGCCACUAUUAUUGGGCCUAAAGCGUCCGUAGCCGGUCCGGUAAGUCCCUGUGGAAAUCCUCAGGCUCAACCUGAGGAAAUGCGGGGAUACUGCCGGACUCGGGGCCGGGAGACGCGGAGGGUACUCCAGGGGUAGCGGUGAAAUGCUGUAAUCCCUGGGGGACCACCAGUGGCGAAGGCGCUCCGCGAGAACGGGCCCGACGGUGAGGGACGAAAGCCAGGGGAGCGAACGGGAUUAGAAACCCUAGUAGUCC